rnacentral:rRNA from 1 species
GAUGAACGCUGGCGGCGUGCCUAAUACAUGCAAGUCGAGCGAACGGACGAGAAGCUUGCUUCUCUGAUGUUAGCGGCGGACGGGUGAGUAACACGUGGAUAACCUACCUAUAAGACUGGGAUAACUUCGGGAAACCGGAGCUAAUACCGGAUGAUAUUUUGAACCGCAUGGUUCAAAAGUGAAAGACGGUCUUGCUGUCACUUAUAGAUGGAUCCGCGCUGCAUUAGCUAGUUGGUAAGGUAACGGCUUACCAAGGCAACGAUGCAUAGCCGACCUGAGAGGGUGAUCGGCCACACUGGAACUGAGACACGGUCCAGACUCCUACGGGAGGCAGCAGUAGGGAAUCUUCCGCAAUGGGCGAAAGCCUGACGGCGCAACGCCGCGUGAGUGAUGGAGGUCUUCGGAUCGUAAAACUCUGUUAUUAGGGAAGAACAUAUGUGUAAGUAACUGUGCACAUCUUGACGGUACCUAAUCAGAAAGCCACGGCUAACUACGUG